UGGUGGUGCGAAGAAGGACUAAAUCGUUUGGGCCUAGGCCCAAUCUGGCUUCCAAGUCAAUAUGCACAGGGACGCCCAUAGCAAACUCAGCAAUGGUCAGCAUUCGCCUUCACUGAACAAUACAAGGUCUCUCGCCCCCCAAAUCAAAUUGCGCGAUGUAAUCCCAAGUCCGUCGCCACCUUCAGCCGUCGUGGGAACAAAAAAAGACGACACGGUUGCAAUCUUUCCAACACGUUUCGAUCCACACACGACGUUCAACUGGACCGUGGAAUCGAAGCUGAACCACAAUACAAUCCUGAGUUCAUCACUUGAUUCAUCAUCGAACUUCAGCGGGGAACAAUCAAAGGUAGCGCGUCGAACAAAGGUGACAUCCCAGAACACGGAAUGAAUGGGAGCGGUACUCGGCGACGCCGCGCACAACGGUUUUGGUGCCUUCUCUCGCCGUCAAUUCGUCCGUUAAUUCUCUAGGAUUUCUCGGUAUACCUCUUAAUUGUAACAGCUAUCGAGAUUGAAGAGGAAGCAAAUCGCCAUGGCGUCUACGCGAAAUCACGAAUGAUUGUAUUGAAACGAGAAACCAAGCUCACCUAAUUUGACGAAAUGGCAGAUAAUGGCUACUGAUUGGGUCGGGACGCUUGUGGUUGAGCUACGCGAACUUCUCUGAAGCGAAAGUGGUCGAUAAUGCUGAAUGAUUCACAACUGUGAAACUGCACUCCUGAAUGUGAACCUCGGUGGAAGGAUCGUGAAGCACUGCGUGCAAGAAUGGUGAAGAAACCAAGUGGAAGAAUAGUGAAUAAACGAAAAGAAGAAAGGUGAAGAAUGAGAAGAUUGGAUGAAGAGUGAAGAGGAUUGAAGGGUGAUUAUGCAGUGAAGAGCUUUUUCUAAUUACAGUUUCCAUGUUGUGAAGUUGAAACAAGAGCCAUCACCUUGCUGCUGCGACCUUAUACGUGGCGUGAAGACUUUGAUAGUGCACUAGGGAUCAAGUGUUGGCUGCGAACGUGCCUUGGUACAAGCACGGAUAUCCUUGCGGGUGGAUGAUAGAAUUGAAGCUCUAGAUGUUGGAUUCGGAUGAUGUAGUUGUGUCGUUAACUAAACUGGCGGACUGCUACCGUCAACUAAACUGGCAGAUCUGCAAUGGUCAUUAGCUCGCGAUACUGCAUGCCAUAUCCAGAACCUGUUUACCAUGUCCGGAUUUGCUCUCCCCAACUAAUUCAUGUGGAUUUGAUUACCGUAAACCCAACGGAUACAAAUGAACACUCCUAAACUCUUAUUUAGGACACACUAUGUAGUGAAUUCUAAUGUAUUCGAUGUAAACCCAAGUCUCAUUCCAGGUGUAGUUGUAUGCACCAUUAGCAUGUGAUAUGUAUGUAAUGAAUAUCAUGGCUUCUACAAAUGAAAUGGAGAUUUUAUUUUGGUGUUA